rnacentral:rRNA from 1 species
AUUGAACGCUGGCGGCAGGCCUAACACAUGCAAGUCGAGCGAGCGGCGGACGGGUGAGUAAUGUCUGGGAAACUGCCUGAUGGAGGGGGAUAACUACUGGAAACGGUAGCUAAUACCGCAUACCAUCAGAUGUGCCCCGAUGGGAUUAGCUAGUAGGUGGGGUAACGGCUCACCUAGGCGACGAUCCCUAGCUGGUCUGAGAGGAUGACCAGCCACACUGGAACUGAGACACGUGCCAGACGCCGACGGGGGGCAGCAGUGGGGAAUAUUGCACAAUGGGCGCAAGCCGGAUGCAGCCAUGCCGCGUGUGUGAAGAAGGCCUUCGGGGUGUAAAGCACUUUCAGCGGGGAGGCGUUACCCGCAGAAGAAGCACCGGCUAACCCCGUGCCAGAAGCCGGGGUAAUAC